AAAAUAUUAUAAUAUUAGUACUAUUAAAAAUAUUGUUUUGUGUUUAUAAUUCACAGUUCUGCUUAAAGACAUCACUCAGCUCUCAAACACCCAGAAGACAUUGCAAACCGCCAGCAUUCAGACUGAGUGAGUCACAUUACAUUUACUGUAUAUUUUCAAAUGAAAAAUGUAAUCAUAAUGCACCUGCUUUGUAAAUAUUAAUGCAGCAUUUGAACUUUCUUCCAUCAGGUCUGGAUUUGUUACCAUCAAAGAAGCAGUAAGAAAUUUGAUGCUUGUUUAAAAACAAAUAGCUAAAUAUGGUAAUGUUGUGUAAUUUAUUUUAAAACAAUUAUUAAUAUUUUUUCCUCUCCUUUUGUUUUUAGGAUGUACACCAGUUAGCUGACUAUUUAGAAGAGGCCUUACACAGAGAAGAGGCUCUUAAAAAGAAGCUCUCCAACCUCCAGAAGAGCGCCGCCACAUUACUGCACUCUACAGAGCUCCUGUGGAAGACACGCUGUGAUGAGGACUUGCUGAAGAAUAAGAUCAAAGCUCUGGAGGCUCAGCUGCAGGUUUGCAUCAAGGUAAGACUUGCAAUGCUGCAUCUCUGCAACAACACCAAACCAUGCU
ensembl:lncRNA